UGGAGCUUGCGGUUUAAUUGGAUUCAACGCCGGAAAUCUUACCGGGACCGACAGCAAUAUGAAGGCCAGGCUGAAGACUUUGCCGGAUUAGCUGAGAGGUGGUGCAUGGCCGUCGUCAGUUCGUACUGUGAAGCAUCCUGUUAAGUCAGGCAACGAGCGAGACCCACGCCCACAGUUGCCAGCGUACUCUCUGGAGUGACGGGUACACUGUGGGACCGCCGCUGCUAAAGCGGAGGAAGGAAUGGGCAACGGUAGGUCAGUAUGCCCCGAAUAUCCCGGGCUACACGCGAGCUACAAUGGUUGGUACAAUGGGUAUCUACCCCGAAAGGGGACGGGAAUCUCCUAAAACCAAUCUUAGUUCGGAUUGAGGGCUGCAACUCGCCCUCAUGAAGCUGGAAUCCGUAGUAAUCGCGUUUCAACAGAACGCGGUGAAUACGUCCCUGCUCCUU
rnacentral:rRNA from 1 species